rnacentral:rRNA from 1 species
GACAGAGGAUGCAAGCGUUAUCCGGAAUGAUUGGGCGUAAAGCGUCUGUAGGUGGCUUUUUAAGUCCGCCGUCAAAUCCCAGGGCUCAACCCUGGACAGGCGGUGGAAACUACCAAGCUGGAGUACGGUAGGGGCAGAGGGAAUUUCCGGUGGAGCGGUGAAAUGCGUAGAGAUCCGGAAGAACACCGGUGGCGAAGGCGGUCUGCUGGGCAGUAGCUGACGCUGAGGCGCGACAGCGUGGGGAGCAAACAGG